rnacentral:tRNA from 1 species
GGCCCUCUAGUUAAUAAAUAACGCUAACCUGCAAAAUUAGAGUAGCCCUCGGCCCGGGCCU